rnacentral:tRNA from 1 species
UUAAAAGAAACCAAAGUUUAGGUGUGUCACUGUUAAUGAUAAUUUGGGUUAAGCCCCUUUUAAA